rnacentral:rRNA from 1 species
UUUAACUGAAGAGUUUGAUCAUGGCUCAGAUUGAACGCUGGCGGCAGGCUUAACACAUGCAAGUCGAGCGGGGGAAGGUAGCUUGCUACUGGACCUAGCGGCGGACGGGUGAGUAAUGCUUAGGAAUCUGCCUAUUAGUGGGGGACAACAUCUCGAAAGGGAUGCUAAUACCGCAUACGUCCUACGGGAGAAAGCAGGGGAUCUUCGGACCUUGCGCUAAUAGAUGAGCCUAAGUCGGAUUAGCUAGUUGGUGGGGUAAAGGCCUACCAAGGCGACGAUCUGUAGCGGGUCUGAGAGGAUGAUCCGCCACACUGGGACUGAGACACGGCCCAGACUCCUACGGGAGGCAGCAGUGGGGAAUAUUGGACAAUGGGGGGAACCCUGAUCCAGCCAUGCCGCGUGUGUGAAGAAGGCCUUAUGGUUGUAAAGCACUUUAAGCGAGGAGGAGGCUACUUUAGUUAAUACCUAGAGAUAGUGGACGUUACUCGCAGAAUAAGCACCGGCUAACUCUGUGCCAGCAGCCGCGGUAAUACAGAGGGUGCGAGCGUUAAUCGGAUUUACUGGGCGUAAAGCGUGCGUAGGCGGCUUAUUAAGUCGGAUGUGAAAUCCCCGAGCUUAACUUGGGAAUUGCAUUCGAUACUGGUGAGCUAGAGUAUGGGAGAGGAUGGUAGAAUUCCAGGUGUAGCGGUGAAAUGCGUAGAGAUCUGGAGGAAUACCGAUGGCGAAGGCAGCCAUCUGGCCUAAUACUGACGCUGAGGUACGAAAGCAUGGGGAGCAAACAGGAUUAGAUACCCUGGUAGUCCAUGCCGUAAACGAUGUCUACUAGCCGUUGGGGCCUUUGAGGCUUUAGUGGCGCAGCUAACGCGAUAAGUAGACCGCCUGGGGAGUACGGUCGCAAGACUAAAACUCAAAUGAAUUGACGGGGGCCCGCACAAGCGGUGGAGCAUGUGGUUUAAUUCGAUGCAACGCGAAGAACCUUACCUGGCCUUGACAUACUAGAAACUUUCCAGAGAUGGAUUGGUGCCUUCGGGAAUCUAGAUACAGGUGCUGCAUGGCUGUCGUCAGCUCGUGUCGUGAGAUGUUGGGUUAAGUCCCGCAACGAGCGCAACCCUUUUCCUUACUUGCCAGCAUUUCGGAUGGGAACUUUAAGGAUACUGCCAGUGACAAACUGGAGGAAGGCGGGGACGACGUCAAGUCAUCAUGGCCCUUACGGCCAGGGCUACACACGUGCUACAAUGGUCGGUACAAAGGGUUGCUACACAGCGAUGUGAUGCUAAUCUCAAAAA